GGGUGCUAGCUCAGUUGGUAAAGUAUUUUCUGCCACUCCAUUGGUUUCCAGGGUUGAUUCAGCUGAUCUGGAUGGCUAGGUGGGUGUCCUCUUCCUCCCCCAUCACUCCAUGUGUGUCCCUUCCAAAGCUGCUUGCUCGAUUGAAGAGAAUGACCUUCCCGUAAUAGAGGAGGACCAGUCUUCAGUCAAGGGUAUACAAGUAGCUGUGCUUCCCUGCUAGAACCUCCAAACAAUCUCUCAAGGUAAAGUAUUUUCUGUGAAAGCAUGAGGACUUGAGUUCAAAUCCCCUUCACCCAUGUAAGUGUUGAGCAU
rnacentral:snRNA from 1 species